rnacentral:rRNA from 1 species
AUGUCGGGCGCGAGCCAUGACCAGCACCGCCGCCACCUGUCGGGCGACUUCGACGAGCUGGCCUCGCUCUUCGCGCAGCGGCCGGCCGACGCCGCCUCGCCGUCGCCCAUGAUGCUGAUGCAGCCGCAGACGCCGUGGUUCUUCGCCGACUACCUGCAGACGCCGGGGAUGGACUACGAUGACGCGUUCGCCAGGGACUUCAUCGGCUCGCCGGCCGGCGGCGUCGGCGGCGUCGAGGAGGUGAAGAGGGAGAUGCUGGCGAGCGACGGUGCCGCUGGCGCUGUUGUUGUGCCUGGCGGCGGGCCCGGCGGGACGGCGCACAGCGUGUCGGUGUCGUCCACGUCGAGCGAGGCCGGGGUCGGCGGCAGCGGCGGCGCGGUGGAGGACGAGGCCGGGAAGUGCAAGCAGGAGGAGGGCGAGGGCGACGACGAGAGCAAGCAGGCGGCGGCCGAUGGAGAAGCGGACAAGACCAAGAAAGGGGCGGCGAAGGGGAAAGGGGCGGCGAGGGUCAAGGGGGAGAAGCGGCCGCGGCAGGCGCGGUUCGCGUUCAUGACCAAGAGCGAGGUUGACCACCUCGAGGACGGCUACCGCUGGCGCAAGUACGGCCAGAAGGCCGUCAAGAACAGCCCCUUCCCAAGGAGCUACUACCGGUGCACGACGCAGAAGUGCCCGGUGAAGAAGCGGGUGGAGCGGUCGUACCAGGACGCCGCCGUGGUGAUCACCACCUACGAGGGCAAGCACACCCACCCCAUCCCCGCCACGCUCCGCGGCGCCAACCACCUGCUCGCCGCGCACGCCCACGCGCAUGGCGGCCACGGGCUCAUCCACCCCGGCAUGUUCCGGAUGCCGGCGCCGCCCGGCGCCUUCCGCCCCGGCGACGCGCUGGGCAGCUUCCUGCAGCAGCAGCACGCGGCCAUGCAGCACCAGCAGCAGGUCGCCGCUGCAGGGAUGGCGAUGCGGCAGGCGAACGCCAUGGCGAGCGGCCACAUGCAGGCGCCUCCCGCUGAUCGUGGCCUGGCCGCCGCCAUGGCCGGAGGUACGACGGGGAACAGUACCCAUACUGUCAGCAGCAGUAGUGCCGAUCCGCUGCGGAUGGAGCAACUGAUGGCGCAGGACUACGGCCUGCUGCAGGACAUGCUGAUGCCGCCGUCCUUCGCCCACAGCGACAACAGCAAUAACAACUCCAACCGCCAUUGA